AGAAAUUUCUUUCCCCAAGAUGCCAGCUUCUAGAAAUAAGCUCUUUCUUCUUACCAACAUUCAUCCCUGUUCAAUUGGCUACCCACAUGGUGAGCCAUAGGGCCUGAUUAAAAGAUUUAAAAAGAGUUGCAGAGAUUUCUAUAUUUUUCUGUGUCAUAAUGUAUGCUAUGCAUUAUGUGUGUUUACUGUUGUAUGUGUAAAAGUUGGUUGUGCUUAUUUGUGUUAUUUAAAAUCACAACAUAAUUUUCACCUAAGCACAAACAAUAGAUGAAAAGAUGAUGCAGUGUUCAUUGCUUCCUAUGAAGUCCAAUUUAAAGUUGUUCUGUGGCAAGAUCAUGACUUAAGAGAAUAACCAUACUUAUCUAAUAUGUUAGUUUCUCAGGCAAUGUAAGUAUAAUUGCUAAAAAUUGAAUUGGUGGUCUUUGCUGUGGCACCUUGUGCAUCAUCAGGUCCCUGCAACCUAAGGGAUGUCUCCCUCUCCUCAUCUUCCUGAGAAAUGGACUCAAGUGUACACUGACUGGAGAGGGGGUAGAGAAGAUAAUGUAGCAGUGCUGGGUCAGAAUCCAUAGUGAGGUUCAAACUGAUGCUGCAAGCCUUGCUGGAUUCAUGGAUAUGUGUGAGAUGGAGCAAACAUCAGCAUCGAGCAGACAGGCAGAGACACAGAUACAGUGCUUUCAUGUGCUGAUUCCUCCAAGGCUCACAACUGAGUCUGGGCUAAAACAAAACCAGGAGCUGUGGGGCAGGGAUUGUGCUGCAUCAGUUUAAGCUGCUGAUUGGGAUGCUCACAUCAAAUACCAGGGUGUGUGUCUUGUCUACUAUGAUUUUUUUUAAAAAAGUGUUUUCUAAUUAAUGUGAAAUGUAGUUUGUCAUAUUUGAUAUCUAGAGCUAUAGUGAAGUGCAUUGACAAAUAUCAAAUGAUUUGUAGAUGUCACGAACUCUGGUUUAUUUAUUUAUGUUUGAGUAGGGUUAU
rnacentral:lncRNA from 1 species